rnacentral:rRNA from 1 species
AGAGUUUGAUCAUGGCUCAGAACGAACGCUGGCGGCGUGCUUAACACAUGCAAGUCGAACGCGAAAGUUUUCUUCGGAAAGCGAGUAGAGUGGCGCACGGGUGAGUAACGCGUAAAUAAUCUACCCUGAUGUCUGGGAUAACCCUUCGAAAGGGGGACUAAUACCGGGUAUAUGGUUAUCUGUUGGGAUAACCAGGAAAGGUGGCCUCUAUUUAUAAGCUAUCGCAUUGGGAUGAGUUUGCGUACCAUUAGCUAGUUGGUGAGGUAACGGCCCACCAAGGCGACGAUGGUUAGCGGGUCUGAGAGGAUGAUCCGUCACACUGGCACUGGAACACGGGCCAGACUCCUACGGGAGGCAGCAGUGAGGAAUAUUGCGCAAUGGGGGGAACCCUGACGCAGCGACGCCGCGUGAGUGAGGAAGGCCUUCGGGUCGUAAAGCUCUGUCAGAAGGGAAGAAGUGUAUUGCGGUUAAUACCCGUAGUAUUUGACGGUACCUUCAGAGGAAGCACCGGCUAACUCCGUGCCAGCAGCCGCGGUAAUACGGAGGGUGCGAGCGUUGUUCGGAAUCACUGGGCGUAAAGGGCGCGCAGGCGGUUUGUUUAGUCAGAUGUGAAAGCCCACGGCUUAACCGUGGAAGUGCAUUUGAAACUGGCAGACUUGAGUACCAGAGGGGAAGGUGGAAUUCCCGGUGUAGAGGUGAAAUUCGUAGAUAUCGGGAGGAAUACCGGUGGCGAAGGCGACUUUCUGGCUGGAUACUGACGCUGAGGCGCGAAAGCGUGGGGAGCAAACAGGAUUAGAUACCCUGGUAGUCCACGCCGUAAACGAUGUGAACUAGAUGUUGGAGGUAUUGAUCCCUUCGGUGUCGGAGCUAACGCAUUAAGUUCACCGCCUGGGGAGUACGGUCGCAAGAUUAAAACUCAAAGGAAUUGACGGGGCCC